rnacentral:lncRNA from 1 species
UAUUUCCAAAAUGAUUUUUUGUUAUUCUACCCUUUUUUCAAGUAAUAUAUUAUGAGUAAAUUUCAAUAUUUUUCUUUUUGUGACUUUAAAAUAGUAAUAUGUUAUUUAACACCUUUUUAUUUCAUUUUAAAAAAUGCUUCCAAAAUGAUAGUUCAAAAUAAUAGUUGAAAAUAUAUAGUAAAAUACUAUUAGAUCUUUUUAUUUCGUCUUUGAAUUUCAUAAUAUAUAGUUAAAAAUAAUAAAUUUUUAUUUCCAAAUGAUUUUUGUUAUUCUACACUUUUUUCAAGUAAUAUAUUAUGAGUAAAUUUCAAUAUUUUCUUUUUGUGACUUUAAAAUAGUAAUAUGUUAAUUAACACCUUUUUAUUUCAUUUUAAAAUAAUUCUUCCAAAAUGAUAGUUCAAAAUAAUAGUUGAAAAUAUAUAGUUGAAAACUAUUAGAUCUUUUUCUUUAGUCUUUGGAUUUCAUAAUAUAUAGUUUAAAAUAAUAAAAUUUUAUUUUCAAAAUGAUUUUUUUUAUUCUACCAUUUUUUCAAAUAAUUUAUUAUGAGGGAAUUUCAAUAUUUUUCUUUUCGUGACUUUAAAAUAGUAUUAUGUUAAUUAACACCUUUUUAUUUCAUUUUAAAAUAAUGCUUCCAAAAUGAUAGUUUAAAAUAAUAGUUGAAAAUUUAUAGUUGAAAACUAUUAGAUCUUUUUAUUUCGUCCAUGGAUAUAAAAAUAAAUUUUUAUUUCCAAAAUGAUUUUUUGUUAUUCUAUAUUCCCUUUUUUCAAAUAAUUUAUUAUGAGGGAAUUUCAAUAUUUUUCUUUUCGUGACUUUAAAAUAGUAUUAUGUUAAUUAACACCUUUUUAUUUCAUUUUAAAAUAAUGCUUCGAAAAUGAUAGUUCAAAAUAAUAAUUGAAAAUAUAUAUUAGAAAACUAUUAGAUCUUUUUUUUCGUCUUUGGAUUUCUUAAUAUAUAGUUUAAAAUAAUAAAUUUUUAUUUCCAAAAUGAUUUUUUGUUAUUCUACACUUUUUUCAAGUAAUAUAUUAUGAAUAAAUUUCAAUAUUUUUCUUUUUGUGACUUUAAAAUAGUAAUAAGUUAAUUAACACCUUUUUAUUUCAUUUUAAAAUAAUUCUUCCAAAAUGAUAGUUCAAAAUAAUAGAUGAAAAUAUAUAGUGAAAACUAUUAGAUCUUUUUGUUUCGUCUUUGGAUUUCAUAAUAUAUAGUUAAAAAUAAUAAAUUUUUAUUUCAAAACUGAUUUUUGGUUAUUCUAUCCUUUUAUGAAAUAAUAUAUUAUGAGUAAAUUUCAAUAUUUUUCUUUCUUGACUUUAAAAUAGUAUUAUGUUAAAUAACACCUUUUUAUCUCAUUUUAAAAUAAUGCUUCCAAAAUGAUAGUUCAAAAUAAUUGUUGAAAAUAUAUAGUUGAAAACUAUUAGAUCUUUUUAUUUCAUCUUUGGAGUUCAUAAUAUAUUGUUGAAAAUAAUAAAUUUUUAUUUACAAAAUGAUUUUUUGUUAUUCUCCCCUUUCUUUCAAAUAAUAUAUUAUGAGAUUUUUUUCAAUUUUUUUUUCUUUUUGUGUCUUUAAAAUAGUAUUAUGUUAAUUAACACCUUUUUAUGUCAUUUUAAAAUAAUGCUUCCAAAAUGAUAGUUGAAAAUAAUAGUUGAAAAAAUAGAGUUGAAAACUAUUACAUCUUUUUAUUACAUCUUUUUAUUUCAUCUUUGGAUUUCGUAAUAUAUAGUUAAAAAUAAUAAAUUUUUAUUACCAAAAUGAUUUUUUAUUAUUCUACCCUUUCUUCAAAUAAUAUAUUAUGAGUAAAUUUCAAUAUUUUUCUUUUUUGACUUUAAAAUAAUAUAUUAUGUCAAUUAACACCUUUUUAUUUCAUUUUAAAAUAAUGCUUCCAAUAUGAUAGUUCAAAAUAAUAGUCGAAAAUAUAUAGUUGAAUUCUAUUAGAUCUUUUUAUUUCGUCUUUGGAUUUCAUAAUAUAUAGUUAAAAAUAAUAAAUUUUUAUUUCCAAAAUGAUUUUUUGUAAUUCUACCCUUUCUUCAAAUAAUAUAUUAUGAGUAAAUUUCAAUAUUUUUCUUUUUUGACUUUAAAAUAAUAUAUUAUGUCAAUUAACACCUUUUUAUUUCAUUUUAAAAUAAUGCUUCCAAAACGAUAUUUCAAAAUAAUAGUUGAAAAUAUAUAGUUGAAAACUAUUAGAUCUUUCUAUUUCGUCUUUGGAUUUCAUAAUAUAUAGUAAAAAUAAUAAAUUUUUAUUUCAAAAAAUAUUUUUUUUAUUCUACCCUUUUUUCAAAUAAUAUAUUAUGAGUAAAUUUCAAUAUUUUUCUUUUUUUGAAUUUAAAAGAGUAUUAUGUUAAUUAACACCUUUUUAUUUCAUUUUAAAAUAAUGCUUCCAAAAUUAUAGUUCAAAAUAAUAGUUGAAAACUAUUAGAUCUUUUUAUUUCGUCUUUGGAUUUCAUAAUAAAUUUUUAUUUCCAAAAUGAUUUUUUGUUAUUCUAUAUACUAUUUAUUAAAUAAUAUAUUAUGAUUAGAUUUCGAUAUUUUUCUUUUUUGACUUUAAAAUAAUAUUAUGUUAAAUAACACCUUUUUAUCUCAUUUUAAAAUAAUGCUUCCAAAAUGAUAGUUUAAAAUAAUAAUUGAAAAUAUGUAGUUAAAAACUAUUAUAUCUCUUUUUAUCGUCUUUGGAUUUCAUAAUAUAUAGUUAAAAAUAAUAAAUUUUUAUUUCCAAAAUGAUUUUUUGUUAUUCUUCCCUUUUUUGAAAUAAUAUAUUAUGAGUAAUUAAUUUCAAUAUUUUUCUUUUUUGACUUUAAAAUAGUAUUAUGUUAAUUAAACCUUUUAUUUAAUUUAAAAUAAUGCUUCCAAAAUGAUAGUUCAAAAUAAUAGUUGGAAAUAUAUAUAGUUGAAUAUUAUUAGAUCUUUUUAUUUCGUCUUUGGAUUUCAUAAUAUAUAGUAAAAAUAAUAAAUUUUUAUUUCCAUAAUGAUUUUUUGUUAUUCUACCCUUUUUUCAAAUAAUAUAUUAUGAGUAAAUUUCAAUAUUUUUCUUUCUUGACUUUAAAAUAGUAUUAAGUUAAAUAACACCUUUUUAUCUCAUUUUAAAAUAAUGCUUCCUAAUUGAUAGUUCAAAAUAAUAGUUGAAAAUAUAUGGUUGAAAACUAUUAGAUCUUUCUAUUUCGUCUUUGGAUUUCAUAAUAUAUAGUAAAAAUAAUAAUAAAAAAUUUCCAAAUUUUUUUUUUCUACCCUUUUUUCAAAUAAUAUAUUAUGAGUAAAUUUCAAUAUUUUUCUUUUUGUGAAUUUCAUAGAGUAUUAUGUUAAUUAACACCAUUUUAUUUCAUUUUAAAAUAAUGGUUAGAAAAUUAUAGUUCAAAAUAAUAGUUGAAAACUAUUAGAUCUUUUUAUUUCGUCUUUGGAUUUCAUAAUAAAUUUUUAUUUCGAAAAUGAUUUAAUAUUGUUAUUCUAUAUACUAUUUUUUAAAUAAUAUAUUAUGAGUAAAUUUCGAUAUUUUUCUUUUUUGACUUUAAAAUAGUAUUAUGUUAAACAACACCUUUUUAUCUCAUUUUAAAAUAAUGCUUCUAAAAUGAUAGUUCAAAAUAAUUGUUGAAAAUAUAUAGUUGAAAACUAUUAGAUCUUUUUAUUUCAUCUUUGGAGUUCAUAAUAUAUUGUUGAAAAUAAUAAAUUUUUAUUUACAAAAUGAUUUUUUGUUAUUCUCCCCUUUCUUUCAAAUAAUAUAUUAUGAGAUUUUUUUCAAUUUUUUUUUCUUUUUGUGUCUUUAAAAUAGUAUUAUGUUAAUUAACACCUUUUUAUUUCAUUUUAAAAUAAUGCUUCCAAAAUGAUAGUUGAAAAUAAUAGUUGAAAAAAUAGAGUUGAAAACUAUUACAUCUUUUUAUUUCAUCUUUGGAGUUCGUAAUAUAUAUAUAUAGUUGAAAAUAAAUAAAAAUUAUUUCCAAAAUGAUUUUUUGUUAUUCUACCCUUUUUUCAAAUAAUAUAUUAUGAGUAAAUCUCAAUAUUUUUCUUUUUGUUACUUUAAAAUUGUGUUAUGUGACUUAACACCUUUUUAUUUCAUUUUAAAAUAAUACAUGCUUCCAAAAUGAUAGUUGAAAAUAAUAGUUGAAUAUAUUGAGUUGAAAACUAUUAGAUCUUUUUAUUUUAUCUUAAUUUGAAGUUCAUAAUAGUUGAAAAUUAUAAUAAUAAAAAAUCCAAAAUGAUUUUUUGUUAUUUUACCCUUUUUUCAAAUAAUAUAUUAUGAGAUUUAUUUCAAUAUUUUCCUUUCUGUGACUUUAAAAUAGUAUCACGUUAAUUAACACCUUUUUAUUUCAUUUUAAAAUAAUGCUUCUAAAAUGAUAGUUCAAAAUAAUAGUUGAAAAUAUGGAGUUCAAAACUAUUAGAUCAUCUCCUAGAUAGUGACAAUAUUGAUUCUAUAUGUGAUGGUUUGGCGGUCUGAUUAUCGUCUUUUCAUGUCUUUUAUCCACUCACAACUGAAUCUUAUGUUUGAGCAGUUUAUUCAUCUUAUUAUUAGAGAAAAUUCCUUUCUCAAGCAUCAUCUUCAAAUUAAAAAUCUGAUGAUCCUUCGGGUGACGCUUUUGCUGCAAAAUUCCGUUCAGGACGUGAUUCUAGGAAUGAUUACAGAG